AUGAACGCUGGCGGCGUGCCUCAUACAUGCAAGUCGAGCGAACAGACGAGGAGCUUGCUCCUCUGACGUUAGCGGCGGACGGGUGAGUAACACGUGGAUAACCUACCUAUAAGACUGGGAUAACUUCGGGAAACCGGAGCUAAUACCGGAUAAUAUAUUGAACCGCAUGGUUCAAUAGUGAAAGACGGUUUUGCUGUCACUUAUAGAUGGAUCCGCGCCGCAUUAGCUAGUUGGUAAGGUAACGGCUUACCAAGGCAACGAUGCGUAGCCGACCUGAGAGGGUGAUCGGCCACACUGGAACUGAGACACGGUCCAGACUCCUACGGGAGGCAGCAGUAGGGAAUCUUCCGCAAUGGGCGAAAGCCUGACGGAGCAACGCCGCGUGAGUGAUGAAGGUCUUCGGAUCGUAAAACUCUGUUAUUAGGGAAGAACAAAUGUGUAAGUAACUAUGCACGUCUUGACGGUACCUAAUCAGAAAGCCACGGCUAACUACGU
rnacentral:rRNA from 1 species